GUGGGGAAUAUUGGGCAAUGGAGGCAACUCUGACCCAGCAACGCCGCGUGAAUGAAGAAGGUCUUCGGAUUGUAAAGUUCUUUAGCGAGGGACGAAAAGAAUGACGGUACCUCGAGAAUAAGCCACGACUAACUACGUGCCAGCAGUCGCGGUAAUACGUAGGUGGCGAGCGUUGUCCGGAAUGACUGGGCGUAAAGGGAGCGUAGGCGGCACAACAAGUUAGGAGUGAAAUACCGUGGCUUAACCACGGAACUGCUUUUAAAACUGUUGAGCUAGAGUGAUGGAGAGGAAAGCGGAAUUCCUAGUGUAGCGGUGGAAUGCGUAGAUAUUAGGAGGAACACCAGAGGCGAAGGCGGCUUUCUGGACAUUAACUGACGCUGAGGCUCGAAAGCGUGGGGAGCAAACAGGA
rnacentral:rRNA from 1 species